rfam:Capsicum annuum cultivar Zunla-1 chromosome 2, whole genome shotgun sequence
AAAUCAGAUGAUGAGAAAAUAACUGCAACAAUAUGAUUGGUAAAUUCCAUGAUUCCUAGUAUUUAAGUCUCUGAUGAUA